UGACCGAGAGAUGGCCAUUGGACGUUAGAACACGAACUUCCUGUUGGAAGACACAAGUACAUGUGAUUGAUAACGAGCUAUGCAUUCACAAUCCUCACGUUCCUAUAACGAACCCAGACAGAAAAUGCAACUACAAGAAUUAUAUUGAGGGGACGAGUGUGGCAUUUACCUUGGAAGGAGUUUUGACAAUACCCUGACAAGUACUGUUAGACUCCUUCCAGGUAAGAAUAAAGAGGAGGUUGUCAAGCAGCUGCGCUAUUAUUCAAGGCUCCUGGUCACGGCACUUCCAGUUUAUGUAAUCCAAGAGUAUGCACGACUUAGCAUGACC